AUGGAUGUGGAUGCGCCACUUCAGGCGCCUGAACAACCGGUCGCAGACGCUGACGAUGAAGAAGCUAACUGGGAAAUGGAAAAAGCCGAAAUGAAACGGAUUGAGUUCAACCAAAAUCGGGAACUGACCGAUAUGCGUGAGCGUGUGGAAGACGUAUCGCGAUCGAACAGUCGAAUGCUGGAAGAACUUACUCGUCAUGCGGCUGAAAUUAAAGAGCAUAUAAACAGACAAAGGGUUCUGGAAUCAACGCGAAAUGAGCUUACUGACAAGAAUUUGGAGUUGGAAACUGUAGUUUCUCGUUUGAAAAUUGAGAAGGAAGAACGGGACGCCGCUGUUGUUAACGCCACAAAGUUGGCACAAACUGCUCAAGUCGAGACAUUUGCUCUGAAAGAUGAAAUAAAGAAGCUAACCAACGAGCAAGCAAGUUUAAGACACUCGAAGGAAGCUCUUGAAAAAGAAAUCCAAGGAAUUCAGUUUGAACGACAAAAAUAUGCCACAGAACGUAGUCUUCACGCUGAAUCAAAAACGUGGCUCAUGCAAGAGGUUUCAGAGCGGGACAACAAAGUUUCCUCGCUUCGUCUCGAACUCAGCAAUAAAGAUAUACAAGGCGCCAAUGAACGUUUGCAGUAUGUUCAACAGAUCAAUCUUCUCAACUCACAGGUCGAGAAUUUGAAUGAAAAACUUGACAUGCUCAAGUUUACAAAUGCCGAUUUGAUUAAAAGAAUGGAAAACACUGAACUAUCGAAGGUUUCUGAAAUCGCUAAUUUGGAAGAGGAAAUUCGAUGCCAAACUGAACUUCAACGAGUCAUGAAAUCGUCAAUGGAAGAGUCGAAAAAUGCUGCUGAUCUUUUCAAAGACCAACUCGAGGCUCAGGAAAAUGUUUUAGUUGAAGUUCGAAAAGUUCUCCAAGAGCACCAAGAUGAAAUGGAAAGAGAAAAUCUUGCUCAUGCAGAUGCCAUCAAACACCGCGAUGAGGAGCUUGCACAAACUCGUGCAGAGUUAGUAAAGGUCACUGAGAUGAUGAAAAGUAUGAGUGACGUGAAGUUGAAUGUUUCUGAAGAGGAACUCUCUGAACUUGCUCCAGCUGCAGCUGAGACUGUUCGAUAUUUGAGAGGAGGUCAAUCGCUCAGUAGUCUUGUACUUGAACAUGCUCGUGUUCGUGGAAAGCUGACAGAAGUUGAAGAGGACAAUGUGAAUCUUCGGAAUACACUUGAGGAACUUUUGGAAACAAUUGAUCAAAACAAGCCACAGAUGAUUUCGCAGAAGAUGGUGACUGAUGAGUUGUUUGACAAAAACAACAGAUUCGAAAAACAACUUGAUUUGGCGGAAUCAGAACGGAGACAAUUGUUGAGCCAACGGGACACUGCUCAACGUGAUCUUGCUUAUGUUCGGGCAGAGCUGGAAAAGUAUCAGCGCGAUUAUGAAUUUGUCUCAAAACGAAACGCGGAAUUGCUGUACGCUGUUGAACGUCAAAGCAGAAUGCAAGAUCCAAACUGGAGUGAACAAGCUGAUGAGCAACUUUUCCAAAACAUCGUCCAACUACAACGACGAAACGUAGAGCUCGAGUCAGACAUUGAGAAUGCUAAAGCAAGUGCUGCACAAGCUGCUAUAAACGCCCAAAGUGAAGAAAUGGCACAACUUCGUGCCGAUCUUGCUGUAACCAAGAAAUCGGAAGCUGAGUUGAAAACUAAGGUGGAGCAAACAAAGGCUGCAUUCGACAGUUUGAAAGAACGAACUGAGCAUUUCAAGGAAUUGGUCAGAGACAGUGUCACUGCAGCUGAAGCGAGAACAGCUCGCUUGAGAGCGGAAGAAGCUAUUGCUGCGAAGGUUGUUGCUGAUGCUACUAUCGAGCGUUUGAGGACCCAGGCGGAAGAUUACAAGGCAGAUCACCUCCGUCGAGAGCAAGACCUUGAGCAGAGAAUCAGGAAUACAGAGGCAAACAUUGCUAGUGUUACAGAAACUAACAUUAAGCUGAAUGCGAUGCUUGAUGCUCAGAAAACCAACACAGCUUCAAUGGAUCAGGAGUUCAAAUCAGCUUUGAAAGAGAAGGAAAAUAUUUUCGAAGAGCUAAAGAAGGUCACCGCAGUCAAUGCAGAAAAUGAACAGCGUCUCGUUGAUUUAGGAAGACAAACGCUCGAAGCAGUUGAACAAGCUGGAAGUCUACGAGUUCGAGUAAGGUCAUUGGAGGAUGAACUACAAAGUGCGCGAACUGAAAUAAAUUCUCUCCAAUUCACUGCAAACGGGCAAAGAAAUAUUCUCGAAAAAGAAGAACAAGUGAGAAUGUCAGUUGUUGAAAUGGCGAAUUUCCUCUCACGCGUAGAAGCUGAGAGACUUACUCAUGCAAAUACUCAACUAGAUGUUCUUCGUCUUGAACGAGACAGCUUGAAAGCUUCAACAACUCGCUUGAGUGAUCAGCUUACUCAUACUAAGAAUGAAUCGAAGCUUGUACAACAGCGAUUGGAGAAAGAAUUAGAAAUUGCGAGACAACGACUUUCCGAGAAAGAAACUCAAGUAACCCGCGAUGAGAUGGAGCUUGCAGAUCUCAGAUCGAAACUGGCCUCGAUGCAUAGUCAAUAUACUGGAUCAGAUGCGUCUGGUAUGACUCCGGAUCGUUUGAAGAGAGAGUAUAUGCAAUUGAAGACUCGAACCCAAUUCUUGGAAAGUGAGCUCGAUGAUGCUAAACGAAAGCUCUUGGAAUCUGAGACUACUCAGAAACGAAUGGAUGCUGAACACGCAAUCUCUGCUUCGCAUAACACUGUCCUAGAAGAGAAUCUGAAACAAUCUGAACAAAUGGGAGUCAUGGAGAAGGAAAGAUUGGUAGCCAAGGCAAAAUGUUUUGAAGACCGUUCUAAACAACUUGCUGAGUCUCUUGAACAAAACCAGAAAAAACUCGAUGAACUUCGUUCAAAGAAUGAUGAGCAACUUUUUGCACACGAGAGAGAAACAAACGAGCUUCGUCGUCAGCUUCAAGUUGCUUCUCUUAACUUGGAUGGCGUUAGAAGAGAACUCGAGGUGGUCAACAACAAUUUGAUAAGUAUGCAGAAUGAAGCUACCAGAAAUUCAUCGGCGUUGGAGCAACAUACAACAAUCGUUCGUCAAUUUGAAGAUAGAAUCACUGAAAUUGAAUCUGCUAAUCUUCGUCUUCAAACCGAAUUGAACAAUAAGUGUGCCGCUCUUGUGGCCGAGUCGACGGCUAAGCGUGAGGCUGAUCAGAUGAUAGAGCACGCCGAAAGGCUACUUCAAAAGAAAACUGAAGAACUCAAUAGUAUUGAAGAAGAAAAUCGUCAAAAACAAGCUGAGUAUGACGAGAAACUUGCUCAAUUAUCUCUUCAGUAUGAAUCGUUGUCCGCGAAUCUCACGAAUCAAAACACAACGAUGGAGGUAAAGGUCAACACUGACGGUUCAUCAAGUACAGUGGAAAAUCUUCAAUCGUUGUUACAAUUCGUUCGUCAGUCAAAGGAUGAGGCUACAUCAAGAGCAAUGACGGCUGAAGUUGAAAUGCGCAGAUUGCGAGCUGAAACUGCAGAAUACGAAAGAGGACGUAAUGAACUUUUGCGAAAGAUUCGGGACUUGGAGACAGAAAAAAUUGCAACGACGGCUGCCUUAGUAGAGAAAGCAGUUGAAGAGGCUGAAGACGAAGGGCGUGAUCCAUUAGGAACUAUUGACGAGCCGAGUGCACCCGCUGAUCCUACUGGUGCCGCUGGUAUUGGUAGCUCUGGAAGAAUGGGCCAAGACGUGCAGAGAGUUCGGCUUCCAACGGGGCUUCGUGACGCCGAAAGAGAGGAUCAAUGUUCGAGCAGUAAUGAAACAAACGAUGAGCGACCAGCUGAACGUUUAACUGCUCGCAAUCUCGCUCGUAUGCAACGUCCAACCCGUGGAGCUAAACCAACUCGUGGAGUUUAUACGCCUGCUCGUGGCAAUCGAGGAGGUCGUGGAGGUGGAACCGCUUAA
rnacentral:misc_RNA from 1 species